AGCUGGGUGGCUCAGUGGGUAGAGCACAAGACUCUUAAUCUCAGGGUCGUGGGUUUGAGCCUCUUGUUGGGGA